rnacentral:misc_RNA from 1 species
AAGUCGUAACAAGGUUUCCGUAGGUGAACCUGCGGAAGGAUCAUUAACACGUAUCCAACGUUAAACAACCCUGUGAACCUUGAACGUGCUCCUGCAGCCCCAUGAAAUCAGCAAUCCCUGGUAAAUCAUUGUUGACCAGCUUUUGAGUCAGGGACCUCUGCCGAAACGGCUGUUCAGUACCGAGCGCGGUGUAAGCGACCUGGCAUCCCCAAGCGAUCAGUGUCUGAAAGUGUCACUGGCUCUGUAAGAAUGGCGCAGUCACGAUCGCUAGAGGCCGACACGGCCGGCGACCGGGUCACCGGGCUCACGCCCCCCUAUCACCCCUUUGCAUGAAAACGGGCCUGCGCUUAAUUGUGCGGCCAUAAACCGAACAACUGUUAACAAUGGAUAUCUUGGUUCUC